rnacentral:misc_RNA from 1 species
AUAGUUCAACGGUUCCUGGCUUUUAUUUACAAAAUAAAUUCAAUUUUUGAUGAUAGCAAAAAAAAAAAAUUUCAUGAUUUAAAUAAGAAUGAGAUUAUCGCGAGAUGUGUUAAUUAUAUUCCGGUUGUAUAGUCUGGUAUUCGUGGCAGUGAUACUGCAUAUUUUGCAUUGCCGAUGCUAGCCUUAGUAUGGACUUGACUGUAUGUAAAAACUUUAUGGCCCACAUGCUGUCAACAGCUACUAUGGUCAAAUUUAAAUUUUGUUAUUCUAUAGGCCGGAUAGUUGUAUAAAGGCAUUGUAAUGGAUAAUGGUAAUAAUACUCAUUUUGGUCAAACACAUUCAUGCCAUUCUACUCCAGUAAAUUCAAUGCCGCUCGUUGUAAGCAUAGCGAUAAAUCCCAAAGGCUGUUCAAAGCAAUAAUUUCAAAUUUGUAUUGCAACUUGCCAACAUUUUUAAAGUAAAUAAAUUCCGUUAUUGUACAGUGACAUUCUCAUGUUAUAUACGCUCUACAGUCAAUAACAUAAUAUCAUUCACCAACAUGAUAGUACUCGAUUGUAUUAUAUUUUACUAGUCUUGAAGCAAGAAUAGCCAUAGCCCUUGGGUUUUUGAAGUUGCCAAGAUUUCGGCUCAGAAUGAAAUGCCCAAGCUAAGAUUUCCGAAGGUUUUUUCAAAUUUUCAAUAUUUACUGCAUUUACUCCCUCCACAAAAUCUGGUUUAUACGAGAAGAUGUGACUGCUAAAAUGAUCAUUAUGCUAUAAAAAACCCCAUUUGUCGUUUACAAUGCUUUACAUUCGUUUUUAUCCACACUAUUCACAAGCCUGUGUCACGGUUUAUGUAAUUGGCUUGGGGAACGUGUUGGAAAGAAUAAAACCGCUGUAUACUUCAUACGGAACGCAAUUAUUACUUUUCGUUCUGCAAUAAAUCAGUGGAAUAUCGUGUUGGUUUUUUUACAUAUAGUUUUAUUUUGAUGUAUUUAGUAAACACUCUAUUUGUUAAUUGAAUAUAAGUUAAAUUAUUAAAAGAUAUUUAGUAUAAGUACAAAUUUUAGUAAUUGCAUUAAAAUGGU